GACGAACGCUGGCGGCGUGCUUAACACAUGCAAGUCGAGCGGUAAGGCCCUUUCGGGGGUACGACGAGCGGCGAACGGGUGAGUAACACGUGGGUGACCUGCCCUCAGCUCUGGGAUAAGCCCGGGAAACUGGGUCUAAUACCGGAUAUGACUCCAUGACGCAUGUUGUGGGGUGGAAAGCCUUGUGCGGCUGAGGAUGGGCCCGCGGCCUAUCAGCUUGUUGGUGGGGUGAUGGCCACCAAGGCGACGACGGGUAGCCGGCCUGAGAGGGCGACCGGCCACACUGGGACUGAGAUACGGCCCAGACUCCUACGGGAGGGCAGCAGUGGGGAAUCUUGCGCAAUGGGCGAAAGCCUGACGCAGCGACGCCGCGUGAGGGAUGACGGCCUCGGUGUAAC
rnacentral:rRNA from 1 species